UGCCUACUGAAGCCCUGCUUACCAGGAAGUGGCUGGACAUCCCUUGUUGAUGGGAAGUAGAAAUUGAAUUUUUUCCAUCUUAUUUUCUCCGUCCCUUUCACCUCCUGCUGAGGAGAGGAGCGAUACAGCAACUUGAUGAGCACCAGCCAAGCCAUCCGGAGUCAGAUUUGGUUGUCUGCCUGUGGAGUGUGAAGUAAUUCAAGGCAAAAGGACACUCCUCAAAACUGAACCAUUCAAUAGAGCUCUUAAAAUAUCCAGAUUGGAGACUCCAACAAUCUUACAGUGGAAAGAAACAGCACUCUCUUUACAAUUGGUAUCUUAGGAAGAAAUAGACCACUUGAGGACUCAUUUGACAGAAGAAUCCCGAUGAGUAUUCUUACCUCUUCUAGUAAAGAUGAUGAUAGGGAUUAGGAAUCCCCUAGUGCAGGGCCUCUCUACAAAACCUGAGCAGCUCUGCAGGAUACUUGGAAAAGGCUUUAUACAAAAUCUUUUCUCUGUUUUUGUCAGAAGUCUCCUAUUGCAUCUUGGCUCAAGUGUUAUCCUUUGUUCCUUGCAAUUCUUUAUCUUUCAUACUUCC